GACGAACGCUGGCGGCGUGCUUAACACAUGCAAGUCGAACGAAGAGCGAUGGACGCUUGCUUCUAUCAAUCUUAGUGGCGCACGGGUGAGUAACGCGUAAUCAACCUGCCCUUCAGAGGGGGACAACAGUUGGAAACGACUGCUAAUACCACAUACGAUCUAAUCUCGGCAUCGAGGAGAGAUGAAAGGUGGCGCCUACAUGUAAGCUAUCACUGAAGCAGGGGAUUGCGUCUGAUUAGCUAGUUGGAGGGGUAACGGGCCACCAAGGCGAUGAUCAGUAGCCGGUCUGAGAGGAUGAACGGCCACAUUGGGAAUGAGACACGGCCCAGACUCCUACGGGAGGCAGCAGUGGGGAAUCUUCCGCAAUGGACGAAAGGCUGACGGGGCAACGCCGGGUGAGUGAUGACGGCCCUCGGGUUGUAAAGCUCUGUUAAUCGGGACGAAAGGCCUUCUUGCGAAUAGAGAGAAGGAUUGACGGUACCGGAAUAGAAAGCCACGGCUAACUACGUG
rnacentral:rRNA from 1 species